rnacentral:lncRNA from 1 species
AGACCUUCCAUUUCCCUGAUAAACAGAGUUGAAUUACUUAAGGCCUGAUAUACUUUUUAUUAAUAAAUAUAGUCAAUUCGGUUAUAAAGAUUAAAUGAGUCAAACACAAUGAAAAUAGGUGGUUUCCCAAGGAUUUGAUUAUAUUGGAUUAUAUUAGAACUCUAGUACGUCUUGCCAGUAGCCUGUGAAUUAGCAAAAUGUCCUAGGAAUGCAGUUUAAAGUUAUCAUAAUUAUCUGAAAUAUAGCUUUCAUUUUGCAUGGCUUUAUCAUAAUUUGUCAUAACAUUCAUGCCUCAUUUUUAAAAUAGAAGAACAAGUCUCUGUUAUAUAUUUCGAUAAAGAAAUUUUUCUUAACACAUGGGUCACUUUUUGUAGUUUACUUGUUUUACAUGAAGACUCUUACAAAGCUCAACUAGAGGCGUACAUUUGACAAGUUUAUUUAAUCUAGUUCUCAAGAAAGGCUGAGGCAGAAUGUCUCAGUCCCACAGAAGAGCUGUUCCUCACCCAGUUCUAGUGUCCUUAGGGCUCACGUGCACAGGCAGCUGGUCUCUCCCUGCUCC